AAGCAAGCUAGUAAGGGCACACGGUGGAUGCCUUGGCGCUAAGGGGCGAAGAAGGGCGUGGCAAGCUGCGAUAAGCCUCGGGGAGCCGCUAGCAGGCGUUAAGACCCGGGGAUACCCGAAUGGGGAAACCCGGCAGGGGUAAUGCCCUGUCAUCCCGGGCUGAAUUAAGUAGGUCCGGGAGGCGAGACCAGGGGAACUGAAACAUCUUAGUACCCUGAGGAAAAGAAAUCAACCGAGAUUCCCCAAGUAGCGGCGAGCGAACGGGGAAGAGCCCAAACCCCGGGCGUGGAUAAGGCUGCAGCCGUUGCGUCUGGGGGGUUGCGGGAGGCUCUGUCAGGCAUCUGCAGGUGUCUGGGGGAGUGAAAAACCGGUCUUCUAGGAGAAGCGGUCUGGAAAGGCCCACCGUAGAGGGUGACAGUCCCGUAUCCGAAAGGGGAUCGGCUCCCCAAGGGCCGUCCCGAGUACCACGGGGCACGGGGAACCCCGUGGGAAGCCGGGAGGACCACCUUCCAAGGCUAAAUACCGCUUGGCGACC
rnacentral:rRNA from 1 species